UACGUAGGGCGCAAGCGUUGUCCGGAAUUAUUGGGCGUAAAGAGCUCGUAGGCGGCUUGUCGCGUCGAUUGUGAAAGCCCGAGGCUUAACCUCGGGUCUGCAGUCGAUACGGGCUAGCUAGAGUGUGGUAGGGGAGAUCGGAAUUCCUGGUGUAGCGGUGAAAUGCGCAGAUAUCAGGAGGAACACCGGUGGCGAAGGCGGAUCUCUGGGCCAUUACUGACGCUGAGGAGCGAAAGCGUGGGGAGCGAACAGG
rnacentral:rRNA from 1 species